rnacentral:tRNA from 1 species
AGGGGAUUCGCCAAGUCGGUAAGGCACAGCACUUUGACUGCUGCAUGCGUAGGUUCGAGUCCUGCAUCCCCUGCCA